UACAUGGGGUGCAAACGUUGCUCGGAAUUAUUGGGCGUAAAGCGCGCGUAGGCGGUUACUCAAGUCGGAUGUGAAAGCCCCAGGCUCAACCUGGGAAGUGCAUCGGAAACUGAAAGGCUAGAGUACGGAAGAGGGUCUCGGAAUUCCCGGUGUAGAGGUGAAAUUCGUAGAUAUCGGGAGGAACACCAGUGGCGAAGGCGGAGACCUGGGCCGAUACUGACGCUGAGGUGCGAAAGCGUGGGGAGCAAACAGG
rnacentral:rRNA from 1 species